AAGCGCGCCCCGUAAAACGGGACGGCCCGCCAGAGGACCCAAACUCUAAUGUUUCUUAUUGUAACUUCUGAGUAAAACAAACAAAUAAAUCAAAACUUUCAACAACGGAUCUCUUGGUUCUGGCAUCGAUGAAGAACGCAGCAAAAUGCGAUAAGUAAUGUGAAUUGCAGAAUUCAGUGAAUCAUCGAAUCUUUGAACGCACAUUGCGCCCGCUGGUAUUCCGGCGGGCAUGCCUGUUCGAGCGUCAUUUCAACCCUCAAGCCCCCGGGUUUGGUGUUGGGGAUCGGCUCUGCCUCACGGCGGUGCCGCCCCCGAAAUACAUUGGCGGUCUCGCUGCAGCCUCCAUUGCGUAGUAGCUAACACCUCGCAACUGGAACGCGGCGCGGCCAUGCCGUAAAACCCCAACUUCUGAAUGUUGACCUCGGAUCAGGUAGGAAUACCCGCUGAACUUAAGCAUAUC
rnacentral:rRNA from 1 species